UACAGAGGGUGCAAGCGUUAAUCGGAAUUACUGGGCGUAAAGGGCGCGUAGGUGGUUCAUUAAGUUAGGUGUGAAAUCCCUGGGCUUAACCUAGGAAUUGCAUUUAAUACUGAUGAGCUAGAGUAUGGGAGAGGUAAGUGGAAUUUCCAGUGUAGCGGUGAAAUGCGUAGAUAUUGGAAGGAACACCAGUGGCGAAGGCGACUUACUGGACCAUUACUGACACUGAGGCGCGAAAGCGUGGGGAGCGAACAGG
rnacentral:rRNA from 1 species